rnacentral:lncRNA from 1 species
UGAUUCUAUCAUUCACUCCUAUUUGCUGAGCAUCUAUUAUGGGCUUAGUAUUUUGCAGCUAUAAUGAGAAGAGGAAUUAUUUUUUAAAAAGAUGACUAUAGCACUCUCAUAUUGUAGAGGGACAGGAUUCAUAUUUAGAUAUCUAGGUGAAUUUUUCAUUUCUGCAAAGGUGGACUCCAGAACCUAGUGUGAAAUGGGAAUAUUGAGUAUGCUAUGUAAUCAAGGAAUGAAGGAGAAUGGAGCUAGAUCUGUAACAGGAACUACAGAAAACAAGAUGGCAAACAAGGUCCCAGCAGAACCCAGAGUUGAAAACAAGAGAACCAGGUGAAUGUGAGCACCCACCAGACCCACCCACAGAGAAUCCUAGGGACUGAAGUCAUUUUAUGUUUGCUUUCAACUUAAGAUAAGUCCCAGAUAAUUGGAGGAUGUGGGGACCAGGAUGCCUCAUUGCACAACUCCAGGAGGCACAUUACAGUAGGUGUGCAAAAGGACAUGAUACUGAAGUUACAGACACAUCAUCUUAUUUAAUCUUCACAACACUCCUGGAAGAAAGGCAUAUUAUCCUUGUCUUACAGAUAAAGAAACUGAGACUCCAAGAAUA